rnacentral:rRNA from 1 species
CCUACGGGGCGCACCAGUGGAGAAUAUUGGACAAUGGGCGAAAGCCCGAUCCAGCAAUGCCGCGUGUGUGAAGAAGGUCUUCGGAUUGUAAAGCACUUUCGACGGGGACGAUGAUGACGGUACUCGUAGAAGAAGCCCCGGCUAACUUCGUGCCAGCAGCCGCGGUAAUACGAAGGGGGCUAGCUUGCUCGGAAUGACUGGGCGUAAAGGGCGCGUAGGCGGUUUAUGCAGUCAGAUGUGAAAACCCCGGGCUUAACCUGGGAACUGCAUUUGAGACGCAUAGACUAGAGGUCGAGAGAGGGUUGUGGAAUUCCCAGUGUAGAGGUGAAAUUCGUAGACAUUGGGAAGAACACCGGUGGCGAAGGCGGCAACCUGGCUCGAUACUGACGCUGAGGCGCGAAAGCGUGGGGAGCAAACAGGAUUAGAUACCCCAGUAGUC